rnacentral:lncRNA from 1 species
UUUUUUUUUUCUUUUUCUUUUUUGCUUUUAGGGCCACAUACAUGCAUAUGGAGGUUCCCAGGCUUGGGGUCUAAUCAGAGCUGCAGCUGCCAGCCUACGCCAGAGCCACAGCAACGCAGGAUCUGAGGCGCAUCCUUAACCCACUGAGUGAGGCCAGGGAUCAAACCUGCAUCCUCAUGGAUGCUAGUCAGGUUUGUUUACCACUGAGCCAUGACGGGAACUCCCAAACACUGCUUUUCUGAUGCCACCCUGACAAAACUUGAUGCACAAAAACCACAUGCCCAACAUUCAAUGCAAAUGCCUUUAGAGAAUCCAAAGGCAUUCAGACCCCAGACAGCCUGUCAGGAUGUCUGCUCUUUGGGCUCCACCGCCAGUAUAGAAGUGACCCCUGGUUGUGAAGGAAUAACUACAUACCCACUAUCAGGAGAGGAAUUUGGGACCCAGAGUCAGAAGCAACGUGUCACUCACUGUUCCUCAUUGGGCCCGUCCCUGGGGGUUUCUCCAGCACCAUCUCCAAGCCAUCUGUGAGCCUGGACGUGUCAGCACCAAGAAGCAGGUGGGCCUUGGCAAGGGUUCCUUCUCCCUUGGUGGCUGAUACCUCUGUUGACACUUCAGACACCAUCCUUCUGCCUCCUGAUGGCCCCCGGUUCUGUCUGCAUGGAUCUCGAGCACCUGUGAUCCUGAUUUGGUCUCAGAAAAAUUAAGAGCCUUAUGGAGGGUGGUAUUUCUCUAUCAAAACUUGCUAUAUCCUUCACUGCUCCCUAUCUAUCAGCAUCUUUAAGUCAUCAUCAGGACACACUGACUCAGGUGAUCUGCUUUAAAUUAUUCCAAACCCCCAGCCCUCCUCUCCCUGCCACCCAUGCCACCUCGCUGCCCCUUAUUUUAUGCAAUCUGGCUCUAGGUUACGAUUAUUCCCUCAGGGGUGCAUGAAAGGAGGGAGAGGCUCAGAUGAAAGAAAAAUAGUUCAGAGAUCCCUCAAGAGACAGGUUUCUGGGAUGGGCACACAUUCCAUUCAUGACUGGCAGCCCAGCUCUCCAGAAGCUAAACAGCAUGAAGGCCUAACUCUGGAAAACUGAAUGCCUGAUACUUAAGCCAGCGGCUUGCUUGUGGGUUCAGAAUUUUGCUUUUGAAGAAAACAAAGGCAGUCAAACCCCAGAUAGCCAGUCAAAUUGUGCUGACUAUGGGCUAGCUGAGCAGACAGUGACCCAGAAUUGUGAAGGCAGAAAUAUAUCCCUUUCACCUGGCAAGCCAGUUUGGACUGGAGAGUCAGAGGUGGCCUGGAACAUACCGCUCCCCGCCGGAUAGCUCCUGGGGGAUUCACGAUUCCCAUCUCAAACCCUAUCUCUGAGCCUGGAAAUGCCAACCAAACUGAGGCAGUUUUCUGGGCCUGGCCAGCGCUUCUGCGCCCUCUGGUGGCCAUUCUCUCUAAUAACAACUCAGAGCCCUCUGCCUCCUGAACAAACCCAUUCAUGGACUGCACUGGGCAUGUGCAACUGAUAGCAGGUUUAAUUUCUUCUCUGUCUAAUAACAACUAAGCUCCUUACUGAGGGGGUACUUAUCUCUCAAAGUCAAGCAUGGCACUCACUCCUUCCUAUUCUUCAACACUUCUCUUAUUUAAUGAGCCAAACCGAUUCCAAAUCAGGCAACCAAAUUUAAGUUAAUCAGCCUUCCUCUUACUUUACCUGACUUAGCCUGAGGUGAAAUUUUUCCUCAUGGGUGAAUGAAAGGAGGGGAAGCUCAGAAAGAAUUUUAAAAAGUAACUUUUCAGAGGACUCUCAGGAGACAAGUUUCCAGCUGUCUCCAACAUGCCCAGCAAGGGAACCUCUGCUUUUACCCUCUCCAUUCAGAACCUACAGCUCAACUUUCUAUUUGACAAACACCAUGCAGACCUGAUCCUUGAGCAGUGCAUAACCAAAAUCCAAACAAUUACUUUUGGGUUCAGAUUUAUGCCUCUGAAGAAUCCAAUGUGACUCAGAAUGUUGAAAACCUGCCAAUAGUCUGACUUGGGUUACCCCAGAUAUCUGAUAGAGACCCACAGAUGUGAAAGCAGACAAUGUUUUUUGUUUUUUAAUCAGCGGAGGUAAUUCAGGCUGGAGAGUGAGAGGUGGUCUGUAAUCUAGUUUUCUCUCCUGACACCCAGUGGUGGAUAUACCCAUCCCUAUCUCGAACCUGUUUCUGAGACUGGAAAUGCCAACACCAAGCAGCUUCUGGGUUUGGCUGGAGCUCCUGCAGCUUCUGGCAGCCAUUCUCUCUCAUAACAACUCCAAGCCUAUCCUUCUACCUCCUGAACAAACCCCUGAACUGCCCUGGGUUUGUGCACCUGAUAGCAGAUUUAAUUUCCCUCUCACUCUAAGAACAACCAAGCACCUUAUAGAGGGGGAUAUUCCUCUCUCAAAGUCAGAGAUAUCACUCAUUCCUCCCUAUCCUUUACCACUCCUCUUGGUCAGUGAACUGAGCCCACUCCAAUUGAACCUGUCCUCUUAAUUUAUGUGACUUGGCUUAAGAUUUUCCCUGAGUUGUGUACAAAAAGAAGGGAGAGGCUCAUAUAGAAAAAAAUAAAGAACUUUUCACAAAACCCUCAAGAGACAACUGUCUGGAUGGAACCUCUGCUUAUAUACUCUCCUUUCAGGACCACCAGCCCAGAUUUUCAGAUGCCAAACACUGUGCAUGCCUGAUUCUGGAACACUGCAUGCACAAUAUCCAAUCAAGUACUUUUGAGUUCAGAUUUCAGUCUCUGCAGACUCCAAAGGCUGUUAGAACUCUUGAUAGCCUGUCUAAUUGUCUGGACUUUGGGCUACCCUUAAUUCACAUUACCUGCCUUUAGGUUACUUCCACUAACUGUGGUCAGUUCAAGAGUAAGAGUCUCAGAUGGAAAAGGAAGGAGGAAUUUGAGGGGGAAAUCUCCAGAGGGAGAUUGCCUGACCACCAAAAUUCUAUUCCUCUUACCCACUCAAUAUUCAAGGUUCAAGUCCAUCAGCCACUUCUACCACCACCUACCCACACCCUGCCUUUUUUUUUUUUCCCCAGAUUUCAGGAAAAUCACUUUACCAGCUGGGGAAAGAAGAAAAGGACCUCUAAGUCAUCCAAAAUUUUGGGGUCCUUGUAGCUGAGUGUAUAGAGAACAGAACACAUGCCAAAUGGGCAUUUGGUCUCCCUGACUGGUUACCUGUAUCUAAGCACGAGAAAACACUUUUUUAGCAAGUUUUUUGACUGCUGGAGAGGCUUUCUGAGUAAUUUAUUUGGCUCCAGAACUUUAUUUCCCACUCCACCUUUACCGUAUAUCCAGGGACUGUUUGCUGAACAGCAGCCACCUACAUCAGCUGUCUCCUACAGCCUCACAGUGGGUCUUAGAAUGUUGAAUCACUGACUUAAGAGGGGACCUUACAACUAAGGUUCUCUUAGACAACACUUCCCCUCCCACACCCCACAAAGGUUCAUUCAUUUUUCUGUUAGAUCACCUAGACCACUUGGUGCGGGCUAGAUUUUGUGGGAUCUUCAUCAUCACCAACCCUAGGAGGAGGCCAUAGAGGACUAGAAAGAUGAGAAGUGAGGUCUUCCUGGUGGGUGUAACCAAGCCUCUAUCCUGGCAAAAUCACCAUAGGGUGCAUCCUUCCCAAGUGAAAAUUACCACCCACUAACAAAUAGCUUAUUUUCUCUUGCAAUAUCACAGGACUCACAUGACCACAGUAUAAAUUUGUAGAUGGGGGAAGUUAGCCAACUACUGAUUCUUUCAAUUAUAAUACCAUUUUUCAAUUGGACCUCUAGUGUUAGGAUUUGAAUAAAAUGGAAUGAGAUCUCCUUUGUCCAAUUUUUCGUGGUGCUUUGCCAAACGAAGCACAUCCAAAAGAAAUGAGUUUAUGUCUAAUCUCUCUCUUUGUAUUGGAAUCUCAUCCCAAGGAUCCUCUUCAUUUUCUCCCUCUGCCAUGAGGAGCUGCUUCCCCUUCUGAGAGUUCACCCAAGACUCCUGAGUCAUCUCCUCCUACCUCUCCUCAUUCUGUGUUGUUUCUACUCCAUUUCACCACCAUUCUACCUGCUGCCCUUACUCCUGCUCUGAUUCUCCCACCUCCUCCUCUUGGCGUGCCUCCUUCAGGGACUAGUCCAAUGCACAUCCAUAUGACUUUCAGUACAAGCUCUCCAGAAUCAAUAGUCUGUUCCCUCUUCAAGAGGUCCUCAGUGGACUCACUGACCACUAUGUAUGUAUCCUUUGCUUCUUCUGAUUUAUGUAAGUGGAAGAAUCAAUACAAAGGAUUAAAGGAAGAAAAGGAUUUCUAAGUCAUCCAAAAUUUUUGGGUCCUUGUAGCUGAGCUUCCUUUAAGAUGUUUAGGGCAUUCUACCUACCAGUAGCCCUCCUUCUUUGCAGUUUUCGCUAUGAUUAGCUUUGAGCCCUUCUCUUCACUGUGGAGAGGUCUUUGAACCUGGGCAAUUCAUUGAUGUCACAUCCUCACUGGCUACACACAUGAAACAAGAAGACUGAAAGGGCCGAGGGGCUCUUUGGAGAAGUCUUAGCUGACCCCGAUUGUGGGGAGUAGAAAGAUUUACUUUCUAGUCAACACAGGGGCCACCUACUCAGUCUUGAACACCUGACAAAUCAGAAUGACCAAAGAUAAAUGCAAGAUAAUGGGAGUGAAAGGGAAGCCACAAGAAUUUUAUAGAGUCUCCUGAGUACAAUUGGAAAGGGAGAAUGUUAUCUCAUUCUUGUAUGUAUUGGAAUGCCCAACUCCCCAUUAGGGAAAGACUUACUAUACACAUUUGGAGCUAUAGUUUAUCUCAGAGACAAACACCUUACCAUCGAAAUACCUAAGAGCCCUUCCAUUCUGUAGCUCUAGGGCUACUGCCCUCUGUCAAGAAUAAUAGCCUAAUUAACCUUAAGGUGUUUAGUCCCUCAGUAGGGACCAAAACACCAUGGGAAGAGUCAGAAGGGCACCACCCAUCAUAGUUAAGCUGUGACCUGGCCAUAGUAAUGGGAAAAAAAUGCCCAGGAUUAUAGCCCAUGAACAAAAUCUACCCAGUGCUGGUCCAUCACCCCCACCCACUCAGUGAUGCCUUUGGAUUAAAGGUAUUACAUUUUACCCCUAAGAAUGAGAACUUUACUCUCACCUUGGCUCACAAGUCUGCUAAACUUAGCCCUCUUGAAGUUCACGUUCCAUCCCUAAUGUAGCUUCCCUGCUUGCACCUCACCCCUCGCACUGGUAUCUCUAAGGAAUACAAAGCACUCAACUAAAGUGUCAUCUCCCUAACAGAUCUCACAGCCACUGCCCCAUCAAAAGCCCCUACCAAAGUGAGAAACUUAUAAUAACACUCUGGUAGUGUUCUGAACUCUGAUCAAUGCUUCUUCCAUGACCUCACAAUUUAAGUGCCCCAGGACUGACUUCUGUGGAAAUCUCACCCAUUGGUGUCCUCUGCACUGACUCCAUGAAUACACACAGGGACCAGACAAGAGAUGCACUUAUUGGGAAGGGGAGAUGCUGCUUGUCUGAUGUUUAGUAAAUGGCCCUCCUGAGGCCUGGGGAAAAGCCACCACUCAAGAAUCCCCCAGUGACCCCCCCACUAUGCAGUGGGCCUCUCUCCUCACACUGCAAGGACACCCCCUCUUGGGAUGGUCUCUUAUGAAGGUGGUUCAACUCCUUAGAAGUGCACUAGGCAUGUGCUCUCUCUGGUACUUGUUCCUUUGGAGCUCAGGGAUAAACCAAUUGCCCAAUCAGGAAUAGCCCUAAAUCCUCUGGAAUGGGGUCUAGCCUACCCUUGCUUAGAUGAUGCCCAGUUUGUGCACAAUGCAUGCUAGACUGGCUAACUUCUAGGAACCUAGUUAUAACCAUUCAUCAUAUCACCCAGUCCUGAGAUAAAAGGGCAAUAAGGCUCAUUCUGGCAGUAGGAAUUGCCCUUGGACUGGCAGCCCCCGCUGGGGAGGUUCUGCAUACCACGAAAUCACUGUACAAAAUCUCACAUGCCCUUGAGGACUUGUCUAAAAACAUGAGGGAUGCUUUUCAAGGACCCCAUACUUCUCUGUACUUAGUAGAAAAUACCGUACUUUAAAAUAGGCUAGCCCUUGACUAUCUCCUCGCUGAGCAAGGGAAAUGCUGCAGUUAUUAAUAAAACCUGCCACACCCAUGUCAAUAACUCUGGCCAGAUUGAGGUAAACAUAAAAUAGAUAUCUGAGCAAGCUUGGUCCUGAUCCAUGCUCAAUCUGGAAUACGGUCAAACUGAGGCUUUCUUUUUUUUUUUUUUUUUUUUUUUUUUUGUCUUUUUGCUAUUUCUUUGGGCCACUCCCGUGGCAUAUGGAGGUUCCCA